CGGUGUUUUCUUAAUGCCAUCAUACCUGUGUUUCUGAUUAAUUCAUGAAGCAAAGGGGAAAAAUGGUUGAAUUUCUUAGUAUGAGCCA